UACGAAGGGUGCAAGCGUUACUCGGAAUUACUGGGCGUAAAGCGUGCGUAGGUGGUUUGUUAAGUCUGAUGUGAAAGCCCUGGGCUCAACCUGGGAAUUGCAUUGGAUACUGGCAGGCUAGAGUGCGGUAGAGGAUGGCGGAAUUCCCGGUGUAGCAGUGAAAUGCGUAGAGAUCGGGAGGAACAUCUGUGGCGAAGGCGGCCAUCUGGACCAGCACUGACACUGAGGCACGAAAGCGUGGGGAGCAACAGGG
rnacentral:rRNA from 1 species